rnacentral:tRNA from 1 species
GGUUCUGUAGUGAAGUUCAUAGUGAGUUGCAAGCUCAUUGAUGUACAUUAAUCAUGUGCCGGGACCU